rnacentral:rRNA from 1 species
UGCAGUCGAGCGGUAGAGAGAAGCUUGCUUCUCUUGAGAGCGGCGGACGGGUGAGUAAUGCCUAGGAAUCUGCCUGGUAGUGGGGGAUAACGUUCGGAAACGGACGCUAAUACCGCAUACGUCCUACGGGAGAAAGCAGGGGACCUUCGGGCCUUGCGCUAUCAGAUGAGCCUAGGUCGGAUUAGCUAGUUGGUGAGGUAAUGGCUCACCAAGGCGACGAUCCGUAACUGGUCUGAGAGGAUGAUCAGUCACACUGGAACUGAGACACGGUCCAGACUCCUACGGGAGGCAGCAGUGGGGAAUAUUGGACAAUGGGCGAAAGCCUGAUCCAGCCAUGCCGCGUGUGUGAAGAAGGUCUUCGGAUUGUAAAGCACUUUAAGUUGGGAGGAAGGGCAGUUACCUAAUACGUGAUUGUUUUGACGUUACCGACAGAAUAAGCACCGGCUAACUCUGUG